UGGGGAAUUUUGGACAAUGGGGGAAACCCUGAUCCAGCCAUCCCGCGUGUGCGAUGAAGGCCUUCGGGUUGUAAAGCACUUUUGGCAGGAAAGAAACGUCAUGGGUUAAUACCCCGUGAAACUGACGGUACCUGCAGAAUAAGCACCGGCUAACUACGUGCCAGCAGCCGCGGUAAUACGUAGGGUGCAAGCGUUAAUCGGAAUUACUGGGCGUAAAGCGUGCGCAGGCGGUUCGGAAAGAAAGAUGUGAAAUCCCAGAGCUCAACUUUGGAACUUCAUUUUUAACUACCGAGCUAGAGGGUGUCAGAGGGAGGUGGAAUUCCGCGUGUAUCAGUGAAAUGCGUAGAUAUGCGGAGGAACACCGAUGGCGAAGGCAGCCUCCUGGGAUAACACUGACGCUCAUGCACGAAAGCGUAGGGAGCAAACAUG
rnacentral:rRNA from 1 species